rnacentral:rRNA from 1 species
ACAGAUGCUGGAAUGCUCUGUAAUCAAAAGUUCCGGCGCCCUAGGAUGGAUCUGCGGCCGAUUAGGUUGUUGUUGGGGUAAUGGCCCAACAAGCCAGUAAUCGGUACGGGUUGUGGGAGCAAGGGCCCGGAGUUGGAUUCUGAGACACGAAUCCAGGCCCUACGGGGCGCAGCAGGCGCGAAAACUUUACAAUGCGGGCAACCGUGAUAAGGGAACCUCGAGUGCCUGUAAAUGCAGGCUGUUCAGAUGCCUAAAACACAUCUGGAGAAAGGGCCGGGCAAGACCGGUGCCAGCCGCCGCGGUAAUACCGGCGGCUCGAGUGGUGGCCACUUUUAUUGGGCUUAAAGCGUUCGUAGCUGGGUUGUUAAGUCUCUUGGGAAAUCUGGCGGCUUAACCGUCAGGCGUCUAAGGGAUACUGGCAAUCUUGGAACCGGGAGAGGUGAGGGGUACUUCGGGGGUAGGAGUGAAAUCCUGUAAUCCUCGAGGGACCACCUGUGGCGAAGGCGCCUCACCAGAACGGCUUCGACAGUGAGGGACGAAAGCUGGGGGAGCAAACCGGAUUAGAUACCCGGGUAGUCCCAGCCGUAAACUAUGCGCGUUAGGUGUAUCGGUGACCACGAGUUACCGAGGUGCCGAAGGGAAACCGUGAAACGUGCCGCCUGGGAAGUACGGUCGCAAGGCUGAAACUUAAAGGAAUUGGCGGGGGAGCA